UCCGCAGGCGGGCCAGUAAGUCAGGGGUGCAAGUUUGCGGCUUAACCGUAAAAUUGCCUUUGAUACUGCUGGUCUUGAGUUGCGGUGAAGUGGCCGGAAUAUGUGGUGUAGCGGUGAAAUGCAUAGAUAUCACAUAGAACACCGAUUGCGAAGGCAGGUCACUAACCGCCGACUGACGCUGAUGGACGAAAGCGUGGGGAGCGAACAGGAUUAGAUACCCUGGUAGUCC
rnacentral:rRNA from 1 species